rnacentral:rRNA from 1 species
GAAUAUUGGACAAUGGGGGGAACCCUGAUCCAGCCAUGCCGCGUGUGUGAAGAAGGCCUUUUGGUCGUAAAGCACUUUAAGCGAGGAGGAGGCUCCUAUAGAUAAUACCUAUAGAGAGUGGACGUUACUCGCAGAAUAAGCACCGGCUAACUCUGUGCCAGCAGCCGCGGUAAUACAGAGGGUGCAAGCGUUAAUCGGAUUUACUGGGCGUAAAGCGUACGUAGGUGGUCUUUUAAGUCGGAUGUGAAAUCCCUGAGCUUAACUUAGGAAUUGCAUUCGAUACUGGGAGACUAGAGUAUGGGAGAGGAUGGUAGAAUUCCAGGUGUAGCGGUGAAAUGCGUAGAGAUCUGGAGGAAUACCGAUGGCGAAGGCAGCCAUCUGGCCUAAUACUGACACUGAGGUACGAAAGCAUGGGGAGCAAACAGGAUUAGAUACCCUUG